CGGACCUAAACCCAAAACACACAUUAUCACUAGCAGAUUAGGUUGUUACUGGUUUUUCACAUUUGUAGUUCACUUUUCCAAUCCGACAUACCAGUAGAUGAACUUUACGUCUUUGGUGUAUUGAUGCAUUACAGGCAGGUAUAAUGGUGAAUAACGACUUGUCAAGUUCUCGUAUAUAUUUUAAUGGUUAGUUAAGAUAUUCAUAUUCAUAUCAUCCAACAGAUAUGUACUUUAUACAUAUGCAAGGAUAUAUUAACCAAUCAAGGACCCCUUCCAGAAGCUAGCUGCUUCUUGAGGCUGAGGAUUUCAAGACCACUUGAAGCUAACUGAUUUUUCAGCUUUGAUGAAGCCGCCUCGAAUUUCUUGUUCAUAAAGUCUAUCUCAUCCAUCGCCUCUUGGUACCUUACUCGAAAUGCAUCCAAUUUUCCUUGUGCCCCUCGAAGUCUCAUUCUCAACUUAGCUUUAUCACUGUUGUGGUUGACUUCACCCUGUUCAGACAUAUCAGAUAAUCACAUCACUCUCUUUUGAAAAUAGUAAGCUUGAAAUGAACCACUUGACUCAGAUUGCUCUUUUAGAAGUUAUACGUGCAACUUAUCACGAAAAUAUGCUGUGUUCGUAAUUAUGCAUACACAAGGAAACAUUCCUUAAUUACACAUGCAAGCAUGUUCAGCAGAUUAUCUACUCAUCUGUGCAGAAGUUAUGCAAAUGCAAGAACAACAUAUAGAAGCAGAUGCAGAAGCUUUUAUUCACAGUACAUACUUAUUUCAUUUCUUAACCUCAAUAAUCACAUAUAGCAAUAUAGUAUUAUACUAGAACCAAGAAAUAAGAGAGGAUAACUUGUACAAAUAUAGCAACAAAAAGGUAACCUGUCAUCUCAUCAUAAUCAAGUACAAUGUGUGAUUGACCAUAUGUAUGAUUGCUUACAUUAUGCAUUUUAGCCUCCAAAGCUGAAAGCUUCUCACUGAGCUGCUCGACUUCAUGAUUUGAAUUUGAAAGCUGAUAACCAAAAUAUAUUGUUAUCCUCGAGCAUAGUAGAGAAAGUCUAAGUAACAAAAUACAUUUGUAAUAAUCUGUCUCAGACAAAUGAGAAUCACAUCUCCUUUACUUGUUCUGAGAGAAGAUUCAUCAAUAAGCAGUUCAUGGCAUUCAAGUGGCAAACCUGAAAGUCAUCUCUAUGAAUUGGCUCUGUCUCUGAUUCUCUACUACGGGCUAAUAGAUCAACUCUUUCUUUGCUAAGCAUGCUUAACUCCAUCUGAAGUCUUUCUACUUCCUUGCACAGAUCCUUAUUCUCCUGUGUGAGCAUCUGAUUUAACAUUUCAUUGGAAAAAGACCAGUUAUGCAGAAUGGCAGUAACAUAUAAUGAUGCCGAAAAUAUGGAC
rnacentral:lncRNA from 1 species